rnacentral:lncRNA from 1 species
GAAUUAAUUAAGUGAUCAAAGGAUAACUAAUUAAAUAUAUGGGUUGAUUAUGUAAAUCAUUCAUAUCUUGUAUAGUGGGCUAAAAGGCUCCAUGGAUUAUCAAGUUGGGCUUUACCCAUAGGAUUCUCCAUGGAUGCUCCAUGGGAGUUACAAACCCAUGGGUCAUGAAAAUGAAGAGUCAUGACACAACACUAUAUAAAGGUCCCAUUCUCCACAAAUUGGUAACACACACAAGACAUAUAAGAAACUUGAGGGCUAGGCCAAUUUCAAGAAGUGUGGAUUCUCUCUAAAGUCUUUCCAAGAGCAUUUGGUGUUGUGUGAAGCAUUUGAGGCAUCACACUUGGGGUGCUAGGCUCACAAGGUUUCAAGGAACACAAGCAACAACAAGGUAAGUUAUUCUAUCUUUCAUUCAAGUUAAAAUUGUUCCCCAUGUAUGCUAGAUAGGAAUAUAACCUUGGAAAUUCAACUUUGCAUGAUAAUUAGACAAACAUAGAUCCAAGGUUAUUAGGGUUGCAUGUACACUUAGGAAGUGUUAGAAUGCUCAAAACCCAUCAGUGGUAUCAGAGCCUAGGCUUGUUUGUUUGUUAUUUGUGCUUAAAAGUUGAAGAAAGUCGAAAAUCUUGCUGUCUGACUGAUGGACUCGGCGAGUCCAUGGGGAGGACUCGUCGAGUUCAUGUGUAUCUUCAACCUACUCGGCGAGUAGGUUUAUGCACUCGGCGAGUAGGGUCGACAGAGUGCAGAAUUUCGACUUGAGUUGCUGGAAAUGGAUUAGAAUCAUUACCCUAAAAUGUUUUGGUACUUGAAAACUUAUUUUAGAAGGUGUAAUGUCUUUUCUAACUCAUUUACAACAACUAGUUAUCAAAAUUACAAAGAUUAAAUGUGAUUUUGAUUCUUGAAAGUGUUCAUAUUCAUAUUCUUGUUCUUAUGAUGUUUAGAUGAUCAUAGGAAUUAUUUGUAACCUAUGUGGUAGAUUAAUUCAUGAUCAUAAUGUGUUUUAAUGGAGUCCAUAACUUGUCCUCAAGUUAUGGAAAACCAAAAGUCUCUUGGAUUAAAAACCAUUAAAAGAACACAAGAGUUAGGAAAAAUGAAAAGUCCUCAUUUUAUUACUCUAUUAAACUCAUAAGUUACAAGAAAUGAAAAGUUUUGAAAGUUUACAAAACUUGCCCUCAAGUUUUGGAACAAGUAAAGUUAAGUUAAAACUUUAGUUCCAACCCCUAGAAUUUUAAAAGUUAAAAUUCAACCCUUAUACUUAUAUUAUUAUGAUUUAAUAAUUAUAUAUAUAUGUAUAAGAACAAAGUCGUCUUACCGCUAGUACGCCUCAUUCACGAAGCCGGUCUAUAAGGUGGGUAUAAGGUUGUUGCCUAUAAAAUGGUGACUUAAUGGGUGUCCACUCUCACCCACCGCUUGCUUGAUCGGUGGAGGGUCGUUAGCCGAACGGGUAAGACAAGGACUUAUUAAUUCUCAUUCAAAGUAUGAUGAAUAUUAUAAAGUAACUAAAUGUUUUAUUAAAUUCCCAAUCUUAGUUACUUUAGGAAAAAUGUGAAUAAGGUGCUAUUCCAUGAAAUUACACUUUACACUUUGAUUAAGUCGUUGGUGGAGCGUGUGUGGUUAACCGGCACACUAACUUGGACUUAACAAGGUAGGUAAAGGGUGACUUAGGGUUUAUUAUAGUAUCGAUGGAGCGUGUGUGGUUAACCGGCACAUCGAUUGAGUGAUAAACUUUAAGGGUACCAAGUGAUUUGCAUGGUUACUUCACACCUCGUUUUGUGAUCCUCGGUAUCCCAGUCACAAAACUUGGAGGGCACACUCGAGAUUGAAACAUGCCUUUGAAAAGUUCAUUGAAUCUCAAAGAAUCUAGGAAUUUCUAAGAACCAUUCAAAAACCUAAUACUAAAAUAUUGCGGUUUUCGUGGUGGAAAUUGGUGAAUCGUCAUUCACCUACCUUUCAAAUAUGAUAUAGCUUAGAUUACGGCAUACCUCUUCUAAGUUAUAUUAUAUUGUGAUUGGAUCCUAGCCUUAAUAUUACAUUUGGGUGUUUUAUUAAGGACUCUCUUAUAUCUAAACUAAUCUUGUCCUCUUUCCUUCAGAUGUCUUUCAACAAUGCUUCUGGCUCUAAUCCUAAUGGCUCCUUUACCCUUAUGAACUUGUGUGGGAAAGUCACCUUUGAUGGAUCCAACUUCAAUGAGUGGAUCAGAAACAUCAGGAUGAUUACCCGCUACGAGGACAAAGAAUAUGUCCUUGACAAGGAGCUUAAGGAGAUUGAUGAGUCCACUGCAACUCCUCAGGAGAUCGCUGAAUUUCGGGCACAUGAAAGGGAUGCUACGAAAGUGGCUUGCAUCAUGAUGGCCACGAUGACAGCGGAACUCCAAAAGUCUUAUGAGGAUUUCUACCCUUAUGAAAUGCACCAAGAUUUGAUGGAAAGAUACCAUCAAAGUGCAAGACAAGAGAGGUAUGAAAUCAUCUGCUCCAUGAUAACAACCAUGAUGAAGGACGGGGAAUCCGUCACGAGCCACAUGCAGAAAAUGCAAAGGUAUGUGGAUCGUUUGCUGAAGCUUAAUGUGAACUUCCCGGAGGAUCUUGCAAUAGAUAUUAUUUUGCAUUCCUUACCAUCGUGCUAUGAUCAAUUCCGCAUGACAUAUCACAUGAACAAGGAAGAAGUCACCCUCAGCAAACUUCAGGGACUUCUCAAGACCGCAGAAUCAGGUCUUAAGGGGAAGUCGGUUGCUAUCACUCCUACUCAAAACUCUACUCCGGUUUUGGCAAUCGGGAAAAGUCGAGGGAGGAAGAGAAAGAGCUCUUCUAAGGGUACCAAGGUUCGGACCCUUGAUGGCUCUUCUUCAAGUGGAACCAAGAAAGGUUUCAUUACUCCUUCUUCUGACCCAAAAGAGGCUGAAUGCUUCUAUUGCCAUGAAAAAGCUCAUUGGAAGCGGAACUGCCCAAAAUACCAGCAAGAUGUGAAGGAUGGGAAAGUUAAACCCAACCAUGCAGGUAUUUACACUAUCAUUUCUAAUAACUCACCCCAUUCUAAUUCUUGGGUCCUUGAUACCGGGUGUGGUAUUCACAUUUGUUGUGACUUGCAGGGACUAAGAAGAAGUGAGGAUGUGGAGCAAGGAAGGAUAAACUUGAUCAUGGGGAAUAGGAAAGCUAUACCUGUUACCAAGAUUGGAGUUUAUACUUUAUCGCUAAGUAGUGGGUUUAGUUUAGAUUUGAAUAAGUGUUGUUAUUCGCCAGGAAUGGCAAGAAAUAUUAUUUCCUUUCAUGCUUUGUACAAACAAGGGUUUACCUUUUCAUUUAAUAAUGAAGUUGGUUCUAUAGAUGUUUUCUAUAAUAAUGUCUUUUAUUUUAAAGCAUUACCUUGUGAUGGUGUGUAUGAAGCUGUAUCUGUUGUAGAUAACUUGGGAAAUAAUGUUUUGUGUAUUGAUUCUACUAAUAAUAACUUGGAUAAAGCAUCUUUAUGGCAUUGUCGUCUUGGACAUAUAAGCAAGAAACGCAUAGGCCAACUCCAAAAGGAUGGAGUCUUGGAGUCGUUUGACCUAAAGUCAGAUGAUAGUUGCGAAUCAUGCUUACUUGGAAAAAUGACAAAGUCACCCUUCACAGGUUCGUGUGAGAGGGGUGAAGGUUUGUUGGACCUUAUACACACGGAUGUGUGUGGACCAUUCAAACAUGCCACAAGGGAUGCUAAUCGUUAUUAUUUGACUUUUACUGAUGAUUAUAGUAGAUAUGGAUAUGUCUACUUGAUCAAGCAUAAGUCAGAGACUUUCGAGAGGUUUAAGGAAUUUAAACAGGAAGUCGAGAAUCAAUUGGGCAGGAACAUUAAGAUGCUUCGAUCCGAUCGUGGUGGUGAGUAUCUUAGUUCAGAGUUCCUCGACUAUCUAAGGGAAUGUGGGAUAGUCUCACAAUUGACACCUCCCAGGACACCACAGUUGAAUGGUGUGGCUGAGAGGCGUAAUCGAACCUUGUUAGAUAUGGUUCGUUCCAUGAUGAGUCGAGCUACGCUACCAAUCUCAUUCUGGGGGUAUGCCUUAGAGACUGCCGCCCAUAUUCUUAAUCUAGUCCCUACAAAGAAAGUUGCCAAAACUCCUCACGAGAUGUGGACUGGUAAAGUACCUAAACUAGACCACAUCAAGAUUUGGGGUUGCGAGGCUUUCGUGAGACGCGAGACUCAUGAUAAGCUCGAACCUCGAAGCGAGAGGUGUAUUUUCAUCGGUUACCCACAGCGAUCCUUUGGUUACCUCUUCUACAGACCUAGUGACAAUGUGGUCUUUGUAGCAAGAAGAGGAGUCUUUCGAGAAAGAGAGUUUAUAAGCCAAGGAGACAGUGGGAGGCAAAUUGAUCUUGAAGAAAUUCAAGAAUCAAGCGGUGAAGGAACUUCAAACUCUAGCCCUCAACUUGAGGAGGAAACUCCUGUUGAGCCAAUUGACAAAUCUGUACCUCUGAGACGUUCCACGAGAGUUAGGAGUGCACCUGAGCAUUACUAUGGAUUCCAUAUUACUGCAGAAGGUGAGACACUUAUUAGUGAUGAGACACUAGUAAGUCAAGAUGACCCUAACAGCUACGAGGAAGCCAUGGCAGGCCCCGAGUCUGCUAAAUGGAAAGAGGCUAUGGAUAGCGAGAUACAAUCCAUGUAUGACAAUCAAGUUUGGAACUUGGUUGAAAAUGUACCAGGUCGUAAGACAGUAGGGUGCAAAUGGGUCUUCAAGAAGAAGACCGACAUGGAUGGUAAAGUACACACUUAUAAGGCUAGACUGGUUGCAAAGGGCUUCUCUCAAAUUCCUGGAGUGGAUUAUGAUGAGACCUUUUCUCCGGUAGCCAAGAUUAAGUCUAUUCGGGUUCUGUUAGCCAUAGCUGCAUUUCAUGACUAUGAAAUAUGGCAGAUGGAUGUCAAAACCGCUUUCCUUAAUGGAAAGUUGGCUGAAGAUGUUUACAUGAGUCAGCCAGAGGGUUUUGUCAGCAACGAGUACCCUAAUAGAGUGUGUAAGCUUGAGAAAUCCAUUUAUGGAUUGAAGCAAGCACCUCGCAGAUGGAAUCUUUGCUUUGAUGAAAAGGUCAAGGAAUUUGGCUUUUCUAGGAGUGAAGAUGAAUCUUGUGUGUAUGUCAAGGCUAGUGGGAGUAUAGUUAGCUUUUUGGUAUUGUAUGUGGAUGACAUACUACUCAUAGGAAACGACAUUCCAACCCUGCAGGAAGUAAAGUCCUGGCUUGGGAAGUGUUUCGCUAUGAAGGACCUUGGUGAAGCUGCCUAUAUUCUAGGGAUAAGAAUCUUGAGAGAUCGGAGUAAAAGACUAAUUGGACUUAGUCAGAGUACCUACUUGGAUAAGGUGCUGAAGAGAUUCAGCAUGCAGGAUUCCAAGAAAGGAGAGUUACCCAUCCAGAGUAACACCAGAUUGAGUAAGACACAAAGCCCUAGCACUGAGGCUGAGAUAGCAGAAAUGAGUCGAACACCUUACGCUUCGGCUGUAGGAUCGAUCAUGUAUGCUAUGACGUGUACUCGACCCGAUGUAGCUUUUGCCUUGAGCAUGGUUAGCAGGUAUCAGGCGAACCCUGGCAAGGCACACUGGACUGCGGUAAAGAAUAUCCUCAAGUACCUACGGAGGACUAAGGACUGGGUCCUUACCCUCGGUGGGAGUGAUGACUUGAGAGUUGUAGGGUAUAGUGAUGCUAGCUUCCAGACUGAUAGGGAUAAUUUCCGCUCUCAGUCGGGCUGGGUCUUUACCCUAAACGGAGGAGCAAUUUCUUGGAAGAGUUCCAAGCAAGAGACAGUGGCAGAUUCUACUUGUGAAUCAGAGUAUAUUGCAGCUAGCGAAGCAGCAAAGGAGGCGAUAUGGCUGAAGAACUUCAUUGGAGACCUUGGAGUUGUACCAGCUAUUAAAGAGCCAAUGGAAAUUUUCUGUGAUAGUGAAAGUGCUGUUGCCUUAGCCAAGGAACCAAGGGAUCAUGGGAGAUCCAGACACAUCGACAGAAAAUACCAUUUCAUUAGACAUCGGAUCGAAGAAGGACUCCUCGUGGCAAAGAGGGUAUCAUCGGAUGAGAACCCAGCAGAUCCCCUCACGAAGGGACUGAGUAGGGUUAAGCAUCUCCAGCAUGCUCGGAGCAUAGGGCUGAAGGAUGAUAUAAGUUUUAGUAGUUAGAUAACCCAGAAAUUUGUAAAGUGUAAUUGACAUUUGAUGAUGAAUAAAAGGUGUUUUAUUUAUGAGUAAAGUGUUGCUAUCUCUUGUCAAUCGUUUACUAUAUUUCUUUUGCAUGUUUUGACUUCCAGAAUAAUUUUGUUUGGUGUAACAUAUUAUUCAAACCUCCACAGUCGGUCAUAUGUCGGAAGUAGGUAUGAAUCAAGACUGUCAUGAUGGGUUGUAGAGGUCUAAGGUGUUGGACAAGGCUACAACAAUCAUGAGUGCUCAUAAGUUCUGAGCAUUGGACUCAACCCACGCUCACUGGAAUCACUUCAUGGAAUUCUAUCUCGAGUGAUCGUGAGACGGUAAUAUCAUAUAAGUCUUCAAACCUAGAGAUAUGAUUUGUUACUUACAAGUUGGUUAUGCAUUGACUGUACGAAACCGCAUUGGUAACUCGAUGUUAUAAAACGUACUUUUGUGUGUAAUUCAAUGAGUGGUAGAACAAACAUAUGAGUCGAAGUUUAUCUGUUCCUUCUUGGAUUAGAAGCUGAUAUCUGGGCCCCUCGAUGAUUUUGUUUUGACCCAUGUACCGGGCCCGGUCAGAACUAAGUUGAUGUGUUCAAUUAAGUUCUAUGUCAAACAAAUCGGAAAUCGGGAAACAAAUGCUGGACAAUAAGCAAGACAAUGUUCCAUGUAUUUGUCCGGCUGAUAUCUAGAACGGAGGAUUAUAUGAUCACUUAUCUUAAAUGGCGUACCAUCAUCUUCUCAGUUCCGAGAGACCUUGAAAGAGCUACGAUUGCCGGUCGGUUCCUGAAGUACUAGAGAUAUAGUUAUUAGACUUAUCCAAGUGGGAGACUGUUGGAUAAGGUGUCUAAGUCCAUAACUAUUUCGGGCUUGUACUUGACCCGACCCGGCAUGGUCCAUUUGGGUUGCAUGGCACCAUGCAAUUGGAUAGACUAAAUGAGAGAAAUAACACUUGGAGAUUAUUAAUAUAUUAUAAGUUCUAAUAUAUUAAUAAUAUUAUUUGAUUAGUUUGAUCAAAGAAUUAAUUUGGAAUUAAUUAAGUGAUCAAAGGAUAACUAAUUAAAUAUAUGGGUUGAUUAUGUAAAUCAUUCAUAUCUUGUAUAGUGGGCUAAAAGGCUCCAUGGAUUAUCAAGUUGGGUUCUACCCAUAGGAUGCUCCAUGGAUGCUCCAUGGGAGUUACAAACCCAUGGGUCAUGAAAAUGAAGAGUCAUGACACAACACUAUAUAAAGGUCCCAUUCUCCACAAAUUGGUAACACACACAAGACAUAUAAGAAACUUGAGGGCUAGGCCAAUUUCAAGAAGUGUGGAUUCUCUCUAAAGUCUUUCCAAGAGCAUUUGGUGUUGUGUGAAGCAUUUGAGGCAUCACACUUGGGGUGCUAGGCUCACAAGGUUUCAAGGAACACAAGCAACAACAAGGUAAGUUAUUCUAUCUUUCAUUCAAGUUAAAAUUGUUCCCCAUGUAUGCUAGAUAGGAAUAUAACCUUGGAAAUUCAACUUUGCAUGAUAAUUAGAC